rnacentral:rRNA from 1 species
AACAGGAUUAGAUACCCUGGUAGUCCACGCCGUAAACGAUGAGUGCUAAGUGUUGGAGGGUUUCCGCCCUUCAGUGCUGCAGCAAACGCAUUAAGCACUCCGCCUGGGGAGUACGACCGCAAGGUUGAAACUCAAAGGAAUUGACGGGGGCCCGCACAAGCGGUGGAGCAUGUGGUUUAAUUCGAAGCAACGCGAAGAACCUUACCAGGUCUUGACAUCCUUUGACCACUCUAGAGAUAGAGCUUCCCCUUCGGGGGCAAAGUGACAGGUGGUGCAUGGUUGUCGUCAGCUCGUGUCGUGAGAUGUUGGGUUAAGUCCCGCAACGAGCGCAACCCUUAUUGUUAGUUGCCAUCAUUUAGUUGGGCACUCUAGCGAGACUGCCGGUGACAAACCGGAGGAAGGUGGGGAUGACGUCAAAUCAUCAUGCCCCUUAUGACCUGGGCUACACACGUGCUACAAUGGGAAGUACAACGAGUUGCGAAGUCGCGAGGCUAAGCUAAUCUCUUAAAGCUUCUCUCAGUUCGGAUUGUAGGCUGCAACUCGCCUACAUGAAGCCGGAAUCGCU